GCCGCGCUAGCUCAGUUGGUAGACCAGCCGGUUUGGAAGCGGCAGGUCGUGGGUUCGAAUCCUACGCGCGGCACCA
rnacentral:tRNA from 1 species